rnacentral:tRNA from 1 species
GGGGCUGUAGCUCAGCUGGGAGAGCGCUUGAAUGGCAUUCAAGAGGUCGUCGGUUCGAUCCCGAUCAGCUCCA